GGACCAACUGGUCUGAAAUAAAAUGGAGGUUUCCCUUCAAUCGACUAAGUUCUUAUUCAGUGAAACAAUCUAUGACUUCGAUCUGACUAAGUCCAUCUACAAAACCAACCACAUGAUUUAAAGAUUUUUUUUAAAGUCUACAAGUUCGGUCAUGAUCUACUCAGUUUGUAGCUUCCCGUCGACUACCUUACUUAGUCUC
rnacentral:lncRNA from 1 species